UGUCGGUCCCCUCGCAAUGUUCGGUUGUGAACCCCGUCAGACCCGGAAGGGAGCAGCGGCAACGGCUUUUGCAUGUGCCGGGGUGUGGCUGGCAGGA
rnacentral:SRP_RNA from 1 species